rnacentral:lncRNA from 1 species
GCAAAUCUGGAGAUUUUCUCAAGCCUCUUUAUGAAAAUGGAGAGACCUCACAAGAGAUGCUAAUGGACAGCUGACCCUGCUCCCUGCUCCAUCACAGGUGCGUAGUAUACAAACCUCUACUAACUUCUUGGGCUUCUGAAUAAAGGAAAGGACUACCUAAUGACAGUAAUAGCUUGACUGCUGAAGAAUUAUGUCAAUUAAUAAAAAUUGCUUCAUAGGAAAAA